rnacentral:rRNA from 1 species
CCUACGGGGUGCAGCAGUGGGGAAUAUUGCGCAAUGGGCGAAAGCCUGACGCAGCGACGCCGCGUGAGGGAUGAAGGUCUUCGGAUCGUAAACCUCUGUCAGCAGGGAAGAACGGUCACUGUGCUAAUCAGCAGUGAAUUGACGGUACCUGCAAAGGAAGCACAGGCUAACUCCGUGCCAGCAGCCGCGGUAAUACGGAGGGUGCGAGCGUUAAUCGGAAUUAAUGGGCGUAAAGCGCUCGUAGGCGGUAUGUCAAGUCAAGGGUGAAAUCCCCGCGCUCAACGUGGGAACUGCCUUUGAAACUGGCAAACUGGAGUGUGUGAGAGGAUAGUGGAAUUCCAGGUGUAGGAGUGAAAUCCGUAGAGAUCUAGAGGAACAUCAGUGGCGAAGGCGACUAUCUGGCACAUAACUGACGCUGAGGAGUGAAAGCGUGGGUAGCAAACAGGAUUAGAUACCCGUGUAGUC